rnacentral:rRNA from 1 species
CCUACGUGUGGCAGCAGUGAGGAAUAUUGGUCAAUGGGCGCUAGCCUGAACCAGCCAAGUAGCGUGAAGGAUGACUGCCCUAUGGGUUGUAAACUUCUUUUAUAUGGGAAUAAAGUGCAGUAUGUAUACUGCUUUGCAUGUACCUUAUGAAUAAGGAUCGGCUAACUCCGUGCCAGCAGCCGCGGUAAUACGGAGGAUGCGAGCGUUAUCCGGAUUUAUUGGGUUUAAAGGGUGCGUAGGCGGUCCGUUAAGUCAGCGGUAAAAUUGCGGGGCUCAACCCCGUCGAGCCGUUGAAACUGGCAGACUUGAGUUGGCGAGAAGUACGCGGAAUGCGCGGUGUAGCGGUGAAAUGCAUAGAUAUCGCGCAGAACUCCGAUUGCGAAGGCAGCGUACCGGCGCCAGACUGACGCUGAGGCACGAAAGCGUGGGGAUCGAACAGGAUUAGAUACCCUGGUAGUC